UUGUUUUGCCAGCAUAUAUACAAAAACUAGAACAAUACAGAAAAUAUUAGCAUGGCUCUUGUACAAAGAUGAGAAGCAAAUUUGUGAAGCGUUAUGUUUUUAU